UUUGCAGCUGCUUAAGACAGGCAAGGGAGAAAGUAGGUCCUGUUAGGGCUAGCGCGAUCUCUUCUUUUUACAACCUGCAACCCAAGACGCUGAUUCCAGCCAAGCCUUACCGCACAGCCCAAAGAUACACGAUGGUGAAAAUAGCCUUCAAUACAGUCACAGCGGUGCAAAAAGAGGAGGCACGGCAAGACGUGGAGGCCCUUGUAAACCGAACGGUGGGAGCUCAGAUCUUGACCCGCAAGGAGCUCCAGUUUGCCACCCAGGAAAAAGAGGGCUCCUCUGGGAGAUGCAUGCUUACUCUCUUAGGCCUUUCAUUCAUCUUGGCAGGACUUAUUGCUGGUGGAGCCUGCAUUUACAAGUACUUCAUGCCCAAGAAUACCAUCUACCAUGGAGAGGUGUGCUUCUUUGACUCUGAAGACCCUGCAAAUUCCCUUCAAGGAGCAGAGCCCUACUUCCUGCCUGUGACAGAGGAAGCUGACAUCCGUGAAGAUGACAACAUCGCAAUCAUUGAUGUGCCUGUCCCCAGUUUCUCUGAUAGUGAUCCUGCAGCAAUUAUUCACGACUUUGAAAAGGGCAUGACUGCUUACCUGGACUUGCUCCUAGGGAACUGUUAUCUGAUGCCUCUCAAUACUUCUAUUGUUCUUCCUCCAAAGAAUUUGGUGGAGUUCUUUGGCAAACUGGAAAGUGGCAAAUACCUGUCUCACACAUAUGUUGUUCGUGAAGACCUGGUUGCUGUAGAGGAGAUCCAUGAUGUUAGCAACCUUGGCAUCUUUAUUUACCAACUUUGCAACAACCGCAAGUCCUUCCGCCUUUGUAGAAGAGACCUCUUGCAGGGUUUCAACAAACGUGCCAUUGAUAAAUGCUGGAAGAUUAGACACUUCCCCAACGAAUUUGUUGUUGAGACCAAGAUCUGUCAAGAGUGACAGGCAACAGGAAAAGACUAUCCUUAGUAAUAAGAAGUCAGAGAUUUACAAUAUGACUUCAACAUUAAAGUUUAGACUUCUGAAAGCAGCAUGAAUAUACAGCUAACAUCCUGACAAUAAAUUCCAUCCUUUGUGUGUGGUUUUUUAAAGGUUACUUCAGUGAACAGAUCAAAGCACACCUGGUUGAAAGUCCAAACACUCCACCAUUUGAAGCAAGAAGGAGCUUUGCAGAAGACCAACCAAUGGGAUAAAGCAUCCGAAACACAACAACAGAGUGCACACAACAUACUCUAAAACACUUCCUGAAGUGCCAGGGCCUAGACAGUAUAUGACUCCUUUUAAAUAUACUAGUACUCACAGGUGCAGGGCACAUAACAAGCUAUUAAAACACACAAAGGACAGAAACUUAGUCAAAAUGAUGAAAUGGAAGAAUUCUCUUCCAAGGAAAAUUCAAGAAGAAAUGAUAGCUCAAAACAGAUAUAAACAAUAUAGCUGAACAAAAAUUUAGAAAACAGUCAUAAGAAUAAUAGCUGGGCUUAAGAAAAACAUACAAGAGAGAAACUUUUGCUGCAGAGAUCAAAGAACUAGUCACAAUUAAUUAAGAAAUUUUAUAAAUGAGAUGCAAAAUAAACUAUAUACAGUGACAGCAAGGAUACAAGAAGCAG